GCGGCCAUCUUGGUUGGUUGACCAGGUCACGCCACACAUUUUUAAAACUAUAUACCCCAAAGAUGAUUGUGGCCAAGUUUGGAUUAAUUUGGUCCAGUAGUUUCAGAGGAGAAGAUUUUUGUAAAAGAUUACUUUAAUUAACGAAAAAUGGUUAAAAAUUGACUAUAAAGGGCAAUAACUCCUAAACGGGUCAACUGACCAUUUUGGUCAUGUUGAUUUAUUUGUAGAUCUUACUUUGCUGAACAUUAUUGCUGUUUACAGUUUAUCUCUAUCUAUAAUAAUAUUCAAGAUAAUAACCAAAAACAGCAAAAUUUCCACAAAAUUACCAAUUCAGGGGCAGCAACCCAACAACCGAUUGACCGAUUCAUCUGAAAAUUUCAGGGCAGAUAGAUCUUGACCUGAUAAACAUUUUUACCCCUGUCAGAUUUGCUCUAAAUGCUUUGGUUUUUGAGUUAUAAGCCAAAAACUGCAUUUUACCCCUAUGUUCUAUUUUUAGCCGUGGCGGCCAUCUUG
rnacentral:lncRNA from 1 species